GGAGGGUAUAGCUCAGUGAUAGAGUGCAUGCUUAGCAUGCAUGAGGUCCUGGGUUCAAUUCCCAGUAUCUCCA
rnacentral:tRNA from 1 species